AAAAGGAAGUGAUUCCGGCGGAGGAUGGGCAUGCGGCGCAUUAGCUUGUUGGCGGGGUAACGGCCCACCAAGGCGACGAUGCGUAGGGGUUCUGAGAGGAAGGUCCCCCACACUGGUACUGUGACACGGACCAGACUCCUACGGGAGGCAGCAGUGAGGAAUAUUGGUCAAUGGGCGGGAGCCUGAACCAGCCAAGUCGCGUGAGGGAAGACGGUCCUACGGAUUGUAAACCUCUUUAGGCGGGGAGCAAUGCCGGGCACGCGUGCCCGGAGGGAGAGUACCCGCAGAAUAAGCAUCGGCUAACUCCGUGCCAGCAGCCGCGGUAAUACGGAGGAUGCGAGCGUUAUCCGGAUUUAUUGGGUUUAAAGGGUGCGUAGGCGGAUUUUUAAGUCAGCGGUAAAAUGUCCGGGCUCAACCCGGGCCGGCCGUCGAAACUGGGGAUCUUGAGUGGGCGAGAAGUAUGCGGAAUGCGUGGUGUAGCGGUGAAAUGCAUAGAUAUCACGCAGAACUCCGAUUGCGAAGGCAGCAUACCGGCGCCCGACUGACGCUGAGGCACGAAAGCGUGGGGAUCGAACAGGAUUAGAUACCCUGGUAGUCCACGCAGUAAACGAUGAAUGCUAGUUGUCCGGUUCUUUGGGACUGG
rnacentral:rRNA from 1 species